UACGUAGGGGGCGAGCGUUAUUCGGAAUUACUAGGCGUAAAGCGCACGCAGGCGGUCUGCUAAGUUUGGAGUGACAGUUGGUGGCUUAACUGCCAAAGUGCUUCGAAAACUGACAGACUUGAGGGCUUCAGAGGGACACGGAAUUCCGGGUGGAGUGGUGAAAUGCGUAGAGAUCCGGAGGAACACCAAAGGCGAAGGCAGUGUCCUGGGGAGUACCUGACGCUCAGGUGCGAAAGCCAGGGGAGCGAACGGG
rnacentral:rRNA from 1 species